CACAGUUUUCUUCACACUUCGACGACUUCUUCCGCCGACAACCUUUUUCUAUGUGCCUGGUCUGUUGAUUAGUGCCGUAGCUGCAGCAACGCUAUCGUUCCAUUCACCCGCAAUAAUGUCCAAUGGCGACCGAGCUUUCUAAUGGUUCGAUCGAAAAUAUCAGUCUUCGAAAGCAUGAUAGAAGACUUGGAUUGGCUCAUUCGAUGAAUGGGGAUUAUCCCUUUGUGCCCACUGGCCGCUGCAAGCUGGUCCCUGUUGAAAUGUGGUUGUUGUUGUAGCGUUUACACUAAGCAACAGCAAGCAAGCAACCGGCAUCAAAACAGACAAUGGAGCUGUUACAAGAUGCUAUAUCCCACCUGGCCAAGGCCUAUGAUGACAUGAUAGCAAUAAGUGGUAAGUGUAUGUGGCAAAGAUAAGCCACAUCAGUCACUCAUCGCAAAACAUGAUUUUUUGGUUAUUAAUACAGAAAACAGAAAAAAUGAGAGCUAUGAAUUGGUAAAAGAAUCAUUUAAAUUCGUCAUUUUGCUAUGAAGUUAUAGGAGUUUAAACAUACAGCUGUAUAAAGAAAUAUUUGAGAAAUCAGCCUUCAAAGUUUACGAUUUCAGGGAUUUCUUA